UACGAAGGGGGCUAGCGUUGCUCGGAAUCACUGGGCGUAAAGGGUGCGUAGGCGGGUCUUUAAGUCAGGGGUGAAAUCCUGGAGCUCAACUCCAGAACUGCCUUUGAUACUGAAGAUCUUGAGUUCGGGAGAGGUGAGUGGAACUGCGAGUGUAGAGGUGAAAUUCGUAGAUAUUCGCAAGAACACCAGUGGCGAAGGCGGGUUACUGGGCUGAUACUGACGCUGAUGCGCGAAAGCCAGGGGAGCAAACGGG
rnacentral:rRNA from 1 species